UGCCUAGGGAACUGCCCAGUCGAGGGGGAUAACAGUUGGAAACGACUGCUAAUACCGCAUACGCCCUACGGGGGAAAGGAGGGGCUCUUCGGACCUUUCGCGAUUGGAUGUACCUAGGUGGGAUUAGCUUGUUGGUGAGGUAAGAGCUCACCAAGGCGACGAUCCCUAGCUGUUCUGAGAGGAUGAUCAGCCACACUGGGACUGAGACACGGCCCAGACUCCUACGGGAGGCAGCAGUGGGGAAUAUUGCACAAUGGGCGAAAGCCUGAUGCAGCCAUGCCGCGUGUGUGAAGAAGGCCUUCGGGUUGUAAAGCACUUUCAGCGAGGAGGAAAGGUUAACGGUUAAUACCCGUUAGCUGUGACGUUACUCGCAGAAGAAGCACCGGCUAACUUCGUGCCAGCAGCCGCGGUAAUACGAGGGGUGCAAGCGUUAAUCGGAAUUACUGGGCGUAAAGCGUACGCAGGCGGUUUGUUAAGCGAGAUGUGAAAGCCCCGGGCUCAACCUGGGAACUGCAUUUCGAACUGGCAAACUAGAGUCUUGUAGAGGGGGGUAGAAUUUCAGGUGUAGCGGUGAAAUGCGUANAGAUCUGAAGGAAUACCGGUGGCGAAGGCGGCCCCCUGGACAAAGACUGACGCUCANGUACGAAAGCGUGGGGAGCAAACAGGAUUAGAUACCCUG
rnacentral:rRNA from 1 species